AGACAUUUCAUAUUCUCGCAUGGCGACAGGAAAGACUAGUAAUUAUUAAGAACUUGGUAUUUCAAUUGCCCUACUCUUGGUACCAUCAAACUGUCUUUCCUGCCGUCCAGUCUUUAAAGAUGGGUAGUUUGCUAACUCCUCCUCCUUUCAUAUGCUUUACUCGAGCGAAAACGGCGACGAGGAGCCAGGCAGCCCGGCCGUCAGGCAGACUCAGAGAGAGUCUCAGAGAGAGAGACAAAGAGAAGAGAGCAGAGACCUCACUCACCUGGGAAGGUUCCUACAAUUUUGAUUCGUCCGACAUGCCUGUCUUAGGCUAAAGGCUUUUAUUGGGAUCCCUGGUCUACGUCAUCCUCUUGAGAAAAUUCUGCCAAAAUCCAUCUGCAACGCCUUUGUGCAUGGUUCGACAAUGGUGAUUUAGCUCUCGGACUAGUAACUCUAGCUUAUUCAUAAAUUCACGUUGUUAACACAUGGGAUGGUGUUUGGUUUCGGUGUAUCGGCCCUUUUAUUUCCUUCCUGAUACUAAUGUAAACCUCAGUUGCUCAAUUGUAAGGUAAUUUUAAGUGGGUUAUUAUUCCUAUGGGUAUAUUUUUCUACAUAAAUGACCAUGACUUUUAGAUACUAAUCUUCCCGAAUAUUUCUUUACAGACAGCGAGCGAAGCAGAACGAAGGGAACGCCCUACGAUCUACGUGAAUUGCCUUGUUAUCCUACCAAUUGUUUGUAACUACGGUACUACGUCAUUUUAAAGGCCUAUUUAUGUAAUAAAUAUCAUAUUCAAUUACAUUUUUCCUUCCAACCUUUAUUUCAAACCACAGAUUUUUAAGGUGUUCUGCUUAUGGCGCCCAACGUGGGGCAACACGAAGAAAGGUGCUUAAUGAUGGUGCAGAUGAUCCAGUAGAGAAUUGACCACGACUGGGGCUCCCAAUAGUCUCUCCUAUUUCUAUUUGUAGGACAUUGAUAUUUUCCUUUCCAGGAUAUUAACAUUUUAUUGAAAUAAAUGUAAUUUUUCUUUCCAGAAAAUUAACAUUUUAUUGGUUUGCAUUUGUUAUACUUUUGUUAUAAUGGCUAACUUACAGAUACUGAUCGGACAACGAAAAGUCAUUCGGAGAAAAGUCACCGAACAAUUCAAUAGGUCUGACACCUAUU